UCAUCCUUGGGUUAUAGGUGUGCAGGAGGAGAUCGUAAGCCUGCGUAAGCGUGUUGAGGAGGCUGAUGAGGUGAUCAAGUGGGUGCCCAUUCUCAAUAAACAGAUUGAGAGUGUUGAGGCACAAGUUAAAAGGCUGACUUUGCUGCUUGAUAAGCUCACUGGUGAUGUGUAUAACCUCACAGUGCAGGUGGUUGCUCUGGAGAAUGUCUGUUUCGACUGAAAUCGAACAGGUGAAGGUUGUUGGUUCUGGAGGUCACGGGUUCUACAAGGUUUCUUGCUUCUGCAGGUCACGGGUUCUAUCUCUUUACUGGCGCAGCACGUUUUAUUCUGAGGUUGAUGGGUUCUGCUUCACGGGUUAUCGUAGUAGUAGUAAUAGUACUUAGUGUAGUUGAUGGGUUCUGCUUCACAGGUCACGGAUUGUAAUAGGCAGUAGUGUAGUUGUCACGGGUUGAACUGGUGACAACACAUUUUCAAGUACUUUUGGUUGUUUA